rnacentral:misc_RNA from 1 species
GAAAUGCGAUAAGUAAUGUGAAUUGCAGAAUUCAGUGAAUCAUCGAAUCUUUGAACGCACCUUGCGCUCCUUGGUAUUCCUUGGAGCAUGCCUGUUUGAGUAUCAUGAAAUCUUCAAAGUAAAACUUUUGUUAACUCAAUUGGUUUCUACUUUGGUAUUGGAGGUCUUUGCAGCUUCACACCUGCUCCUCUUUGUUCAUUAGCUGGAUCUCAGUGUUAUGCUUGGUUCCACUCGGCGUGAUAAGUUAUCUAUCGCUGAGGACACUGUAAAAGGUGGCCAAGGUAAAUGCAGAUGAACCGCUUCUAAUAGUCCAUUGACUUGGACAAUACUUUUAUGAUCUUAUCUCAAAUCAGGUAGGACUACCCGCUGAACUUAAGC